rnacentral:rRNA from 1 species
UGGGCGGAAGCCUGAUCCAGCCAUGCCGCGUGAGUGAAGAAGGCCUUCGGGUUGUAAAGCUCUUUCAGAUGCGAAGAUGAUGACGGUAACAUCAGAAGAAGCCCCGGCUAAUUUCGUGCCAGCAGCCGCGGUAAUACGAAAGGGGCAAGCGUUGUUCGGAUUUACUGGGCGUAAAGGGCACGCAGGCGGUCUUGCCAGUCAGGGGUGAAAGCCCGGGGCUCAACCCCGGAACUGCCUCUGAUACUGCAGGACUAGAGACUAGGAGAGGGUGGUGGAAUUCCCAGUGUAGAGGUGAAAUUCGUAGAUAUUGGGAGGAACACCAGAGGCGAAGGCGGCCACCUGGACUAGAUCUGACGCUCAGGUGCGAAAGCGUGGGGAGCAAACAGGAUUAGAUACCCUGGUAGUCCACGCCGUAAACGAUGAGUGCUAGUUGUCGGGACUUCGGUUUCGGUGACGCAGCUA